GACGAACGCUGGCGGCGUGCUUAACACAUGCAAGUCGAACGGAAAGGCCCUGCUUUUGUGGGGUGCUCGAGUGGCGAACGGGUGAGUAACACGUGAGUAACCUGCCCUUGACUUUGGGAUAACUUCAGGAAACUGGGGCUAAUACCGGAUAGGAGCUCCUGCUGCAUGGUGGGGGUUGGAAAGUUUCGGCGGUUGGGGAUGGACUCGCGGCUUAUCAGCUUGUUAGUGGGGUAGUGGCUUACCAAGGCUUUGACGGGUAGCCGGCCUGAGAGGGUGACCGGCCACAGUGGGACUGAGAUACGGCCCAGACUCCUACGGGAGGCAGCAGUGGGGAAUAUUGCACAAGGGGCGGAAGCCUGAUGCAGCAACGCCGCGUGCGGGAUGACGGCCUUCGGGUUGUAAACCGCUUUCGCCUGUGACGAAGCGUGAGUGACGGUAAUGGGUAAAGAAGCACCGGCUAACUACGUG
rnacentral:rRNA from 1 species